UGUGUCCGUGUGUGCGUGUGUGCGCGUGUGCGUGUGCGUGUCUGUGCGCUCCCGCCGCCGUCGCCGAGCGCCCCCCUCUCCGCCCUCGCGCUCGCGCUCCCUCGCGCCGGCGCCGGCUCCCCAGCCCAAGCCGGGCAGGGCCGGGCUUUAUUAAUAUGCUAAUUGUCCUGCUAGUGGGAGGGGAGAGCCGUGUCAAAGUGACCCGGGAGAGCGCGCAGCAAGCGACGACGUUUUUGCUGAGGGAGCAUGAAAUGAUGGAACGGUGCAGAGUCCAGGGAUUGAAAAGAAGGCCUGCCUAGGAAUGGAGACCCUCCCCACCAUGUGCUUAGGAUGGGGGAUAGGGGAGCUUGUACACUGUGGAGUCUCCCACCCCCAGGUUUCCCCAUCUCCACCCCCACCAGGAGCAGAGAGGACCUGACUGAAGCCAUCCACACUCACACAAGUAUUUCCUUGGCAGCAUCCCCUGCCUGAGUGCACCCCCUCCCUGCAUUCUCCCAGACAAAGGUCAGCACUAGAGGGAGUAGAGAGAACAUAAGGCAACAGAACACUGGCCCGAAAUUGUGGAUACCUAGGUUUGAACGCAAGAUUCGCUCCUCAAUACCUGAGUGAUUUGAGACAACUGACCACCCCACCUGGGACACUAGCUUUAUCCUCUGUAACCUAUGGCUUGGUGAGUAUCAAACUAGACAAUGUACACCCAGUCACGUAGCCCAGUGUCAGCCAGGCAGUCCUGUAAAUACGUGUUCUUUCUGCCCUUUUUUUUUUUUUUUUUUUAAGAUUAUCCAAUUCCAAGAGAGGAGGGGGCUGGAUUGGCAGGACAAUUUGAGAUGGUUUGGAGGAGGGGGAAUACCUACCUUGACCUCCUUCUCUCUUUUCUGUCCAUGAAUUUGCCUUCCUCCAAUCCUGUGACCACUUACGCCUAAGGCCACUCAUUCCAAACAACUAGCUUGGUCAGAUUCCAUGCUGACCAACACAAUGGUGAUCAUCUGGGUGGACAGGGGGACUACAACCCACCCUAUAAAGGUCUUUGCCUCCUGUGAAUCUGAGAUUUCCCUCUCCUAGAUUACACAUGUGGAAGGUAGAAGCUUAGGAAGGAAGAAAAAACUGCCUUACUUGAGCAUGCACUAAUGCCAGGCACUGCCCUAGGCCUUUUACACUUGCCGACUCAUUUACCUUUCAUGAGGACCUUUGGAAGAAGGUGCUAUUACCUCCAUUGAACAAGUAGGAAAACUGAAGUUCAGAGAUGAUAAUAAAUUUGAACUUGCCUGUAAAACACUGUUCUCCCUCUUCUUCACCUACUAGUUAAUGCUUCCUUAACACCUUAGUUCUAGCUUCACCUUCUCUGGGAAGAUUACCCUUCCCACUCCCACUGACACUAUAGCCCAGUUACCGGUAAGGAAAUACCAUCUCAGUACUGUUGAAUGGGUGGUUAAAAUAAGUGAUUGGGGCUCCUACAGGAACUCCAUUUAGGCAAGUUAGUUAACUUUGCCAAGGUAACAGAGCUAACAAGCACUUGACCCAUUGCUCCACUCCUUGCCUUACUUCUAGUGUGGAUCA
rnacentral:lncRNA from 10 species